rnacentral:lncRNA from 1 species
CAAGCUCCCUCUUCUUCACCUGCUGCCCACCAAGACCUCUUUGUUCCCAGAAUGCAGGAUGUUUUCUUGUCAUUCCAAGAGUAUCAAAAAGCACAAUACUAGGCACAGCCUUUUGCUAACGAGCCCCACGCCUGUGGAAUAAUCUUACCAUUUUACGGUUUCCAUCAUUAAGUCUAGACCAAGAACAUUCCUCUUCAGUGCAUUCUAUAGUUAGGAAUAGUGCAUCAAGAUCCAGCACCUGUCACAAUAAACUUCCUAUACACCACGCCGGGCAACCUCUCUUUCCACCUCCUCUUCUCUCUCUAUAUCAUAUUGUGCUAGGUUAUUGAUACUGAUGAAGUGCCAACACUUCUUCUCAUUCUCUUUGGAUGCCUAAAGUGACCAGGGUUUGUAUCCCAGUUUCAUUCCUUACCCUAACUUUGGUUCAUACUCCUGAGGGGGUUACCACCCUUUACCCUAACCUGAGUUCACACUCCUGAGGGGGUUAUACCCCACCCCUUACCCUAACCUUGGUUCAUACUCCUGAGGGGGUUACCAUCCCUUACCCUAACCUGAUCCUGAGGGGGUUACCACCCUUUACCCUAACCUGAGUUCACACUCCUGAGGGGGUUAUACCCCACCCCUAACCCUGGAUAGCCUGUGGCAUGCCAUAGUAUAAUGAAAUUUGUGUUUACAUAAUUAGGUGCGUAGAUAUGCACUGAGGAUGAGUAAUAUUAUGUUUACUAACCUGUGUCUGUUUUGUUUACUAACCUGGGUCUGUUCUCUACCAUAUAUAGUAUGACCUUUGCCUGCAAAUGCUGAUGGCCAUCAUUGACAUAGUUUCCUGCUUCAUAGGUGUGCUUAUCCUUGUAAUAGUAACCAUAUGAGCAUACUGUAUACCCACCAAACCAAUCCUUACCAAUACUGAAUAGUGGCUCUUUCCAUUUUCAUCCACUAUCAGUCUUGUAUGCAUCCUUGAGUGUAUUACAUAUGUAUGCUAAUAUGUUUUAUUCAAAUGCAUGUAUGAAUGUAUCUGUCUGCUUAGUGGUGGCAUUCAUUUCAUCAGUGUGUUUGAAUGAGUUGAUUAUGUGUCAGCUCCGAGGGUGCGCUGUGUAAAACAUUGGUAUUCACUUGCUGCCUGAUCCACCAUUGUGAUAAUGAACCAGACUGUGAGGGUACUGUUAAAGAGCCAAUGUCAUUAGAUAAUUAUUAUUGUGGCGUAUGACGCAUGCUCUCACUGCUGCAAAUAUGGCAGCGAAAAUAACAAUGGGAGUUUAUAAUUCAUUUAAU